rnacentral:rRNA from 1 species
GGCGUGCCUAAUACACGCAAGUCGAACGCACUGACGUUGACAGAAGGUGCUUGCACUGGAAGUUGAUUGACGUGAGUGGCGGACGGGUGAGUAACACGUGGGUAACCUGCCCUUAAGCGGGGGAUAACAUUUGGAAACAGAUGCUAAUACCGCAUAAAAGUUGAGAUCACAUGGUCUUAAUUUGAAAGACGGCCUUUGGCUGUCACUUAAGGAUGGACCCGCGGCGUAUUAGCUAGUUGGUGAGAUAAUAGCCCACCAAGGCGAUGAUACGUAGCCGACCUGAGAGGGUAAUCGGCCACAUUGGGACUGAGACACGGCCCAAACUCCUACGGGAGGCAGCAGUAGGGAAUCUUCCACAAUGGACGAAAGUCUGAUGGAGCAACGCCGCGUGAGUGAAGAAGGUUUUCGGAUCGUAAAACUCUGUUGUUGGAGAAGAACAGGGACUAGAGUAACUGUUAGUCCUUUGACGGUAUCCAACCAGAAAGCCACGGCUAACUACGUGCCAGCAGCCGCGGUAAUACGUAGGUGGCAAGCGUUGUCCGGAUUUAUUGGGCGUAAAGCGAGCGCAGGCGGUUUCUUAAGUCUGAUGUGAAAGCCUUCGGCUUAACCGAAGAAGUGCAUCAGAUACUGGGAAACUUGAGUGCAGAAGAGGAAAGUGGAACUCCAUGUGUAGCGGUGAAAUGCGUAGAUAUAUGGAAGAACACCAGUGGCGAAGGCGGCUUUCUGGUCUGUAACUGACGCUGAGGCUCGAAAGUAUGGGGAGCGAACAGGAUUAGAUACCCUGGUAGUCCAUACCGUAAACGAUGAAUGCUAAGUGUUGGAGGGUUUCCGCCCUUCAGUGCUGCAGCUAACGCAUUAAGCAUUCCGCCUGGGGAGUACGACCGCAAGGUUGAAACUCAAAGGAAUUGACGGGGGCCCGCACAAGCGGUGGAGCAUGUGGUUUAAUUCGAAGCUACGCGAAGAACCUUACCAGGUCUUGACAUCUAGCGCCAAUCCUAGAGAUAGGACGUUCCCUUCGGGGACGCUAAGACAGGUGGUGCAUGGUUGUCGUCAGCUCGUGUCGUGAGAUGUUGGGUUAAGUCCCGCAACGAGCGCAACCCUUAUGAUUAGUUGCCAGCAUUUAGUUGGGCACUCUAAUCAGACUGCCGGUGACAAACCGGAGGAAGGUGGGG